GAUGAACGCUGGCGGCGUGCCUAAUACAUGCAAGUAGAACGCUGAAGGAAGGAGCUUGCUCUUUCCGGAUGAGUUGCGAACGGGUGAGUAACGCGUAGGUAACCUGCCUGGUAGCGGGGGAUAACUAUUGGAAACGAUAGCUAAUACCGCAUAACAGUAGAUGUUGCAUGAUCUCUACUUAAAAGGUGCAAUUGCACCACUACCAGAUGGACCUGCGUUGUAUUAGCUAGUUGGUGAGGUAACGGCUCACCAAGGCGACGAUACAUAGCCGACCUGAGAGGGUGAUCGGCCACACUGGGACUGAGACACGGCCCAGACUCCUACGGGAGGCAGCAGUAGGGAAUCUUCGGCAAUGGACGGAAGUCUGACCGAGCAACGCCGCGUGAGUGAAGAAGGGUUUCGGAUCGUAAAGCUCUGUUGUAAGAGAAGAACGAGUGUGAGAGUGGAAAGUUCACACUGUGACGGUAUCUUACCAGAAAGGGACGGCUAACUACGUG
rnacentral:rRNA from 1 species